rnacentral:rRNA from 1 species
AGGGCACCACCAGGAGUGGAGCCUGCGGCUUAAUUUGACUCAACACGGGAAAACUCACCCGGCCCGGACACUGGAAGGAUUGACAGAUUGAGAGCUCUUUCUUGAUUCAGUGGGUGGUGGUGCAUGGCCGUUCUUAGUUGGUGGAGUGAUUUGUCUGGUUAGUUCCGAUAACGAACGAGACUCUAGCCUAUUAAAUAGAUCGUUGGCUUACAAACGCCGGCGAGACUUCUUAGAGGGACAGGCGGCGAUUCAGCCGCACGAAACAGAGCAAUAACAGGUCUGUGAUGCCCUUAGAUGUCCGGGGCCGCACGCGCGCUACACUGAAGUGAUCAGCGUGCAUUUUGAAACCUACUCUGUCAAGAGUGGGGAACCCAAUGAACCUUCUUCGUGAUUGGGAUAGGGGAUUGUAAUUAUUCCCCUUGAACGAGGAAUUCCCAGUAAGCGCGAAUCAUAAGUUUGCGCUGAUUACGUCCCUGCCCUUUGUACACACCGCCCGUCGCUACUACCGAUUGAAUGUUU